UGGGGAAUAUUGGACAAUGGGGGCAACCCUGAUCCAGCAAUGCCGCGUGUGUGAAGAAGGUCUUCGGAUUGUAAAGCACUUUCGACGGGGACGAUGAUGACGGUACCCGUAGAAGAAGCCCCGGCUAACUUCGUGCCAGCAGCCGCGGUAAUACGAAGGGGGCUAGCGUUGCUCGGAAUGACUGGGCGUAAAGGGCGUGUAGGCGGUUUACACAGUCAGAUGUGAAAUCCCCGGGCUUAACCUGGGAGCUGCAUUUGAUACGUGUAGACUAGAGUGUGAGAGAGGGUUGUGGAAUUCCCAGUGUAGAGGUGAAAUUCGUAGAUAUUGGGAAGAACACCGGUGGCGAAGGCGGCAACCUGGCUCAUGACUGACGCUGAGGCGCGAAAGCGUGGGGAGCAAACAGGAUUAGAUACCCUGGUAGUCCACGCUGUAAACGAUGUGUGCUAGAUGUUGGGUAACUUUGUUAUUCAGUGUCGCAGUUAACGCGUUAAGCACACCGCCUGGGGGAGUACGGCCGCA
rnacentral:rRNA from 1 species